rnacentral:rRNA from 1 species
GACGAACGCUGGCGGCGUGCCUAAUACAUGCAAGUAGAACGCACAGUUUAUACCGUAGCUUGCUACACCAUAGACUAUGAGUUGCGAACGGGUGAGUAACGCGUAGGUAACCUGCCUGGUAGCGGGGGAUAACUAUUGGAAACGAUAGCUAAUACCGCAUAAUAUUAAUUAUUGCAUGAUAAUUAAUUGAAAGGUGCAAUUGCACCACUACCAGAUGGACCUGCGUUGUAUUAGCUAGUAGGUGAGGUAACGGCUCACCUAGGCGACGAUACAUAGCCGACCUGAGAGGGUGAUCGGCCACACUGGGACUGAGACACGGCCCAGACUCCUACGGGAGGCAGCAGUAGGGAAUCUUCGGCAAUGGACGAAAGUCUGACCGAGCAACGCCGCGUGAGUGAAGAAGGUUUUCGGAUCGUAAAGCUCUGUUGUAAGAGAAGAACGGGUGUGAGAGUGGAAAGUUCACACUGUGACGGUAUCUUACCAGAAAGGGACGGCUAACUACGUG